UAUCGCUGGCCGCCCGCAAGGGUGACGAGAGGAAAGUCCGGGCAACACAGAGCCGCCAUACUUCCUAACGGGAAGGGGCGCGCACCCCCAAGGGACGCGCCACAGAAAGCGCCACAGAGAAUAUACCGCCAUGCCGCAAGGCUGGUAAGGGUGAAAACGCGAGGUAAGAGCUCACGACGGUCGCCAGCAAUGGCAUCGAUGGCAAGCCUUAUGGGUUGAAAGACCAAAUAUACCGACAGUCAAGGGCUGGCUCGCCCGUUGUCGAGGGGUAGGUCGAUAGAGGCCGUCGGCGACGACGGCAGUAGAUUAAUGAUAGAACUACGGCAGAGGGAGCACUCCCGACACCGCUGACAGAACCCGGCUUACACGCUU
rnacentral:RNase_P_RNA from 1 species